CUUCGGAUGGGUGAGUAACGCGUGAGAAUCUGGCUUCAGGUCGGGGACAACCACUGGAAACGGUGGCUAAUACCGGAUGUGCCGAAGGUGAAAGAUUUAUUGCCUGAAGAUGAGCUCGCGUCUGAUUAGCUAGUUGGUAGUGUAAGGGACUACCAAGGCGACGAUAGUAGCUGGUCUGAGAGGAUGAUCAGCCACACUGGGACUGAGACACGGCCCAGACUCCUACGGGAGGCAGCAGUGGGGAAUUUUCCGCAAUGGGCGAAAGCCUGACGGAGCAAUACCGCGGGAGGGAGGAAGGCUCUUGGGUUGUAAACCUCUUUUCUCAGGGAAGAACAAAAUGACGGUACCUGAGGAAUAAGCAUCGGCUAACUCCGUGCCAGCAGCCGCGGUAAUACGGAGGAUGCAAGCGUUAUCCGGAAUGAUUGGGCGUAAAGCGUCCGCAGGUGGCUGUGUAAGUCUGCUGUUAAAGAGUGAGGCUCAACCUCAUAAGAGCAGUGGAAACUACAUAGCUAGAGUACGUUCGGGGCAGAGGGAAUUCCUGGUGUAGCGGUGAAAUGCGUAGAGAUCAGGAAGAACACCGGUGGCGAAAGCGCUCUGCUAGGCCGUAACUGACACUGAGGGACGAAAGCUAGGGGAGCGAAUGGGAUUAGAUACCCCAGUAGUCACCAG
rnacentral:rRNA from 1 species